GUAGGGGGCAAGCGUUGGUCCGGAAUCAUUGGGCGUAAAGAGGCGCGUAGGCGGUCCGGUAAGUCCGCUCUGAAAGUCCGGGGCUCAACCCCGGAAAGGCGGGCGGAUACUGUCCGGGCUAGAGUCCGGAAGAGGCGAGUGGAAUUCCUGGUGUAGCGGUGAAAUGCGCAGAUAUCAGGAGGAACACCGAUAGGCGAAGGCAGCUCGCUGGGACGGUACUGACGCUGAGGCGCGAAAGCGUGGGGAGCAAACAGG
rnacentral:rRNA from 1 species